GCAGUGGUGGUUCAGCGUAGAAUUUUCCCCUUCCAUAUAGGAGACCCAGGUUCGAUUCCUGGCCAUUCCA
rnacentral:tRNA from 1 species